rnacentral:rRNA from 1 species
GAUGAACGCUGGCGGCGUGCCUAAUACAUGCAAGUCGAGCGAACGGACGAGAAGCUUGCUUCUCUGAUGUUAGCGGCGGACGGGUGAGUAACACGUGGAUAACCUACCUAUAAGACUGGGAUAACUUCGGGAAACCGGAGCUAAUACCGGAUAAUAUUUUGAACCGCAUGGUUCAAAAGUGAAAGACGGUCUUGCUGUCACUUAUAGAUGGAUCCGCGCUGCAUUAGCUAGUUGGUAAGGUAACGGCUUACCAAGGCAACGAUGCAUAGCCGACCUGAGAGGGUGAUCGGCCACACUGGAACUGAGACACGGUCCAGACUCCUACGGUAGGCAGCAGUAGGGAAUCUUCCGCAAUGGGCGAAAGCCUGACGGAGCAACGCCGCGUGAGUGAUGAAGGUCUUCGGAUCGUAAAACUCUGUUAUUAGGGAAGAACAUAUGUGUAAGGAACUGUGCACAUCUUGACGGUACCUAAUCAGAAAGCCACGGCUAACUACGUG